rnacentral:rRNA from 1 species
AGUGAACGCUGGCGGUAGGCCUAACACAUGCAAGUCGAACGGCAGCACAGUAAGAGCUUGCUCUUACGGGUGGCGAGUGGCGGACGGGUGAGGAAUACAUCGUAAUCUACUUUUUCGUGGGGGUUAACGUAGGGAAACUUACGCUAAUACCGCAUACGACCUACGGUUGAAAGCAUGGGAUCUUCGGACCUUGCGCGAUUGAAUGAGCCGAUGUCGGAUUAGCUAGUUGGCGGGGUAAAGGCCCACCAAGGCGACGAUCGGUAGCUGGACGCAGAGGAUGAUCAGCCACACGGGAACUGAGACACGGUCAAGACUCCUACGGGAGGCAGCAGUGGGGAAUAUUGGACAAUGGGCGCAAGCCUGAUCCAGCCAUACCGCGUGGGUGAAGAAGGCCUUCGGGUUGUAAAGCCCUUUUGUUGGGAAAGAAAAGCAGCAGGUUAAUACCCCGCUGUUCUGACGGUACCCAAAGAAUAAGCACCGGCUAACUUCGUG